CUAGAGGAGACAUUUCACUAUGAGAAGCUCUGCAAUAGUUCGAACAUUGCUGCUCUGCCAGUGGUUGAGUUGGGUUCAGAGUGAGCAUGAAGGAACUAAAAUGAGUGGCAGAGCCCCAUUUGUAGAGGAACACCUCCAAUUGGAGCCUAAUAAUUUUAAAACAAGCAACGUUGAAGUCAACAGACAGACCGAUAUUUGGGCUGAGUUAAAGGAGCUGAAAGACCUGACCAUUGAGAUGAAGGCUGAAAUAGAGACACUGAAGCAGGAGAAUUUAGCUUUAAAGACCAGAUUACAUCUCAGCGAAUCGCAGGUAGAGGCGCUCAAACAAACAAGUGCAAAUUUGGAAAACAAAAUCAGCCAAAGUGAGAUGGAGGAUCACAAAACUAAGAGCAUGGG